rnacentral:rRNA from 1 species
GACGAACGCUGGCGGCGUGCUUAACACAUGCAAGUCGAACGGAAAGGCCCUGCUUUUGUGGGGUGCUCGAGUGGCGAACGGGUGAGUAACACGUGAGUAACCUGCCCUUGACUUUGGGAUAACUUCAGGAAACUGGAGCUAAUACCGGAUAGGAGCUCCUGCUGCAUGGUGGGGGUUGGAAAGUUUCGGCGGAUGGGGAUGGACUCGCGGCUUAUCAGCUUGUUGGUGGGGUAGUGGCUUACCAAGGCCUUGACGGGUAGCCGGCCUGAGAGGGUGACCGGCCACAUGGGGACUUGUAUACGGGCCAGCCUCCUACGGGAGGAAGAAGUGGGGAAUAUUGCACAAUGGGAGGAAGCUUGGUGUAGCAACGCCGCGGGCUGGAUGACGGCCUUCGGUUUGUAUUCCGCUUUCGCCUGUGACGAAGCGUGAGUGACGGUAAUGGGUAAAGAAGCACCGGCUAACUACGUG